CCUAAAGCCACACGUGGGAGGGCAUGGGUGAAAAGGAGUGGUGAGAAGAUUAACAGUAAUAGUAGUGUACACUUUGUAAAUAGUUGAACAGUGUUGAGGGAAUUAUUUGUUUAGCAGAGUGAUGGCUUUCGGGAAAAAACUGUUCUUGU